rnacentral:rRNA from 1 species
CUCCGUACGGAGGCAGCAGUGGGGAAUUUUGGACAAUGGGGGCAACCCUGAUCCAGCAAUGCCGCGUGAGUGAAGAAGGCCUUCGGGUUGUAAAGCUCUUUUGUCAGGGAAGAAACGGUCUGAUCUAAUACAUUGGGCUAAUGACGGUACCUGAAGAAUAAGCACCGGCUAACUACGUGCCAGCAGCCGCGGUAAUAC